CCUACGGGAGGCAGCAGUGAGGAAUAUUGGUCAAUGGCCGCCGGGCUGAACCCGCCAAGUCGCGUGAGGGAUGACGGUCCUAUGGAUUGUAAACCUCUUUUGUCAGGGAGCAAAGGGCGCCACGUGUGGCGCUUUGCGAGUACCUGAAGAAAAAGCAUCGGCUAACUCCGUGCCAGCAGCCGCGGUAAUACGGAGGAUGCGAGCGUUAUCCGGAUUUAUUGGGUUUAAAGGGUGCGCAGGCGGAAUGUCAAGUCAGCGGUAAAAUUUCGGGGCUCAACCCCGUCGUGCCGUUGAGACUGGCGUUCUUGAGUGAGCGAGAAGUAUGCGGAAUGCGUGGUGUAGCGGUGAAAUGCAUAGAUAUCACGCAGAACUCCGAUUGCGAAGGCAGCAUACCGGCGCUCAACUGACGCUCAUGCACGAAAGCGUGGGUAUCGAACAGGAUUAGAUACCCGAGUAGUC
rnacentral:rRNA from 1 species